rnacentral:rRNA from 1 species
CCGUGCUUAGCCCAAACCUAAUAAAAUGUAACCAUAAACAUCAUCUAAAACAAAACAUUUAUAACUCGUAAAAGUAUAGGAGAUAGAAAUUUCAAUUGGCGCUAUAGAGAAAGUACCGCAAGGGAACAAUGAAAGAAAUUAACUAGAGCAAUAAACAGCAAAGAUUACCCCUUGUACCUUUUGCAUAAUGAUUUAACUAGAACCUUCUUAGCAAAGAGAACUUAAGUUAACCACCCCGAAACCAGACGAGCUAUCCACAAGCAGCCUAACGGGGCCAACUCAUCUAUGUGGCAAAAUAGUGAGAAGACUUGUAGAUAGCGGUGACAAGCCUACCGAGCCUGGUGAUAGCUGGUUGUCCAGAAAAGAAUCUUAGUUCAAACUCAAGCCUACCUAUCAAAACCAUAAUUUAACUGUAGACUUGAGAGAUAGUCUAAAAGGGGACAGCCUAUUAGACACAGGAUACAACCUUAACUAGAGAGUAAGUACAUAAACAAACCAUAGUUGGCCUAAAAGCAGCCACCAAUAGAGAAAGCGUUCAAGCUCAACAAACUAACAACACCCAAUCCCAACAACACUACCAACUCCUAGAAUUAAAACUGGACUAUUCUAUAAAUUUAUAGAAGAUAUACUGUUAAUAUGAGUAACAAGAAACUAAUUCUCCUUGCACAAGUGUAUAUCAGAACGAAUCCUCGCUGAUAGUUAACGCGCAUAAAGCAAAUCAACCAACAAGCCCUUUAAACCACGCCCGUUGGCCCAACACAGGAGUGCUCCAAGGAAAGAUUAAAAGGAGUAAAAGGAACUCGGCAAACACAAACCCCGCCUGUUUACCAAAAACAUCACCUCUAGCAUCACCAGUAUUAGAGGCACUGCCUGCCCAGUGACAUAAGUUCAACGGCCGCGGUAUCCUGACCGUGCAAAGGUAGCAUAAUCACUUGUUCUCUAAAUAAGGACUAGUAUGAAUGGCCACACGAGGGUUUCACUGUCUCUUACUCCCAAUCAGUGAAAUUGACCUCCCCGUGAAGAGGCGGGGAUAUACAAAUAAGACGAGAAGACCCUAUGGAGCUUCAAUUAACUAAUCUAAAAGUAAUUUAAUUAAACACCAACAGGGAUAAAACAACCUUACAUAGAUUAGCAAUUUAGGUUGGGGUGACCUCGGAGCACAAAAAACCCUCCGAGUACUACAAGUUUAGACCCACUAGUCAAAACACACUACUUACUGAUCCAAAUUCUAUUUGAUCAACGGAACAAGUUACCCUAGGGAUAACAGCGCAAUCCUAUUCAAGAGUCCCUAUCGACAAUAGGGUUUACGACCUCGAUGUUGGAUCAGGACAUCCCAAUGGUGCAGCAACUAUUAAAGGUUCGUUUGUUCAACGAUUAAAGUCCUACGUGAUCUGAGUUCAGACCGGAGUAAUCCAGGUCGGUUUCUAUCUAUUCCUACGCCCCUCCCAGUACGAAAGGACAAGAGGGACAAGGCCCCCUUAAACCUAAGCGCCUUCCAGCAAAACAGAUGAUAUAAUCUCAAUCUCAACAGCAGUAAAUAAUACUAGCCCUAGCCCAGGGCUU